rnacentral:rRNA from 1 species
UACAGAGGGUGCGAGCGUUGUUCGGAAUUAUUGGGCGUAAAGGGCGCGUAGGCGGUGCGGUAAGUCACCUGUGAAAUCUCCUGGCUCAACUGGGAGCUUGCAGGCGAAACUGCCGUGCUGGAGUGUGGGAGAGGUGCGUGGAAUUCCCGGUGUAGCGGUGAAAAUGCGUAGAUAUCGGGAGGAACACCUGUGGCGAAAGCGGCGCACUGGACCACAACUGACGCUGAGGCGCGAAAGCUAGGGGAGCAAACAGG